GACGAACGCUGGCGGCGUGCCUAAUACAUGCAAGUUGAGCGCUGAAGGUUGGUACUUGUACCAACUGGAUGAGCAGCGAACGGGUGAGUAACGCGUGGGGAAUCUGCCUUUGAGCGGGGGACAACAUUUGGAAACGAAUGCUAAUACCGCAUAAAAACUUUAAACACAAGUUUUAAGUUUGAAAGAUGCAAUUGCAUCACUCAAAGAUGAUCCCGCGUUGUAUUAGCUAGUUGGUGAGGUAAAGGCUCACCAAGGCGAUGACACAUAGCCGACCUGAGAGGGUGAUCGGCCACAUUGGGACUGAGACACGGCCCAAACUCCUACGGGAGGCAGCAGUAGGGAAUCUUCGGCAAUGGACGAAAGUCUGACCGAGCAACGCCGCGUGAGUGAAGAAGGUUUUCGGAUCGUAAAACUCUGUUGGUAGAGAAGAACGUUGGUGAGAGUGGAAAGCUCAUCAAGUGACGGUAACUACCCAGAAAGGGACGGCUAACUACGUG
rnacentral:rRNA from 1 species